GGACAGAGCCAACAGGGGAAAGGAAGGUGGAACAUGGAAAGGUAAGGUUAGUUACCUAAAGAGAACAGAAGAGUGAAGGAAGCCGAAUUCUACUCUGGAAAGGAUAGCACCGUGGUACCAUCCACAUUCAUCAGCUUUGUAUCCAGACGCCUUCUGUGAGAUGUGCCAUGGAACAACUGUGAAAGUCGAGCCACUGUUGUCAUGGGAGUCCCUGAAGAUGAUGCUCCCUCCACGGGCAUGUUCACUCCAGUGGUUUCCGUGAGACAAUCUUCACCCACUCUGUCCUCUGCACUCCCAGGAAGCCCCCCAGGAGAAUUACCAGCCUCUUGUCUGAGCCUUCUUCACCUCCACCCUCCAUUUUCUCUUCUGACCUGAGGACCCCCUUAUGUGACUUAACUUCACCCUCACCACUCAGUCACUCUCUGCUCCCAAUGCCUGUCCCUCCCUUGGAUUCCACAUUCCCAGGGGACAUUCUGCACUUGCCUUUCUUCCUCUCCCACCGUGUGACACUCAGGGAGCAGAUGUUGUUCUCUAAUCAGAGGGGACUUUUUCUCUGAACACUUUCCAGGGAUUUUGAUCUCUGCCUUUCCAGAGAUGUCAAUUUCUUACCAAGUUUAUCCCAGAAAAUGGUCCCAUGGAUUCAAAUGUUGAUCAUCUGGAACCAACAGCCUGUCUGCUUCACCACCACCAGAUGGCACUUUAGGUGUGACUCAACCUGAACAUGUUUCCCUCUAAGGAAGCUUGUUCUGGAGACAUUCUCCCCAGAUGGUGCUGAUGAGCUGCCACUAUGUCCCAGCAAUCAGAGGCACUGACCGUCCAAGCAGUAUCACAAUGCUCCUGCAGGAGUCUCCAUCUCUGGCGUUUCUUCCCCUUCAUAUUCUAAGGCUUCAUGUGUGGGAGACGCUGCAGCCAACCUUGUAAUAGCUGUUUCUCUUUCCUUGCCCAAGUCUGAUGUUCUGGCCUUCUGGAGAGACAAGUUUAAAACCGUGGU